UAGGGAAUCUUCGGCAAUGGGGGGAACCCUGACCGAGCAACGCCGCGUGAGUGAAGAAGGUUUUCGGAUCGUAAAGCUCUGUUGUUAAGGAAGAACGAGUGUGAGAAUGGAAAGUUCAUGCUGUGACGGUACUUAACCAGAAAGGGACGGCUAACUACGUGCCAGCAGCCGCGGUAAUACGUAGGUCCCGAGCGUUGUCCGGAUUUAUUGGGCGUAAAGCGAGCGCAGGCGGUUAGAAAAGUCUGAAGUGAAAGGCAGUGGCUCAACCAUUGUAGGCUUUGGAAACUGUUUAACUUGAGUGCAGAAGGGGGGAGUGGAAUUCCAUGUGUAGCGGUGAAAUGCGCAGAGAUAUGGAGGAACACCAGUGGCGAAGGCGACUUUCUGGUCUGUAACUGACGCUGAUGUGCGAAAGCGUGGGGAUCAAACAGG
rnacentral:rRNA from 1 species